rnacentral:rRNA from 1 species
GACGAACGCUGGCGGCGUGCCUAAUACAUGCAAGUUGAGCGCUGAAGGUUGGUACUUGUACCAACUGGAUGAGCAGCGAACGGGUGAGUAACGCGUGGGGAAUCUGCCUUUGAGCGGGGGACAACAUUUGGAAACGAAUGCUAAUACCGCAUAAAAACUUUAAACACAAGUUUUAAGUUUGAAAGAUGCAAUUGCAUCACUCAAAGACGAUCCCGCGUUGUAUUAGCUAGUUGGUGAGGUAAAGGCUCACCAAGGCGAUGAUACAUAGCCGACCUGAGAGGGUGAUCGGCCACAUUGGGACUGAGACACGGCCCAAACUCCUACGGGAGGCAGCAGUAGGGAAGCUUCGGCAAUGGACGAAAGUCUGACCGAGCAACGCCGCGUGAGUGAAGAAGGUUUUCGGAUCGUAAAACUCUGUUGGUAGAGAAGAACGUUGGUGAGAGUGGAAAGCUCAUCAAGUGACGGUAACUACCCAGAAAGGGACGGCUAACUACGUG